UAGAGUGUUUGGAAAAUCUCUUGAAUAUUGGAACAGUCUUGAAGAGAAUGUGCCAAAUGUUCUGCCACACUACUGGAUACCUGUACACAGAACAGGACGGUCAGAUGCUGAAGAUUCUGAUCUCGUCUUUGAAAGCUUCACUCUCUCUGCAAUCUAGAAACAGUCAAGGAAUAAAACCAAGAUAGAGCUGCUCAUCUCGGUUCUCUUAGGAAGCCGCAUGCAUUAUCAAUGUCUGGGAUGGCAGCACGGAAAAUGUUGGAGACCUGUUUUUUUGCAAAGUUUUAAAAGAAAUGGCUCUUCCACUUUAGCAUUUUGUCACUAAUCAAUUGACAGCUGGCUUCUUUUGACAAAGAGUUGUUACUGCGAAAACUUUGAAGUUCUGAAGAGCACUAAAUCUGCUGUCUCUGAACAGAUAAUCAUGCCUGGAGCAGUUGAGU